rnacentral:lncRNA from 1 species
ACCCUAUUAAUUUAUAGAGGUUCUACCGUAAUCAUAUAAUGCAGAAAUAUCUUUGUAUAUUACACAUAAAUAUGUAAAUAUCUAUGCAAAUAUAUGAGAAUGUCAUACCACACUUCAUAUAUAUGAAAUCUUAAAACGGAAUGCUUGUAAAAUCUUCACCUUCAUGUAGGCGUGGAAGAUUGCUCCAAUUGUGUGGCAUUAAUUGAUAACAAACACUGUAAUGGAUAGAUAUAUAAUCAGCAAAAUUAAGGAAUUUUUGAAGUAUUAGCGAAACAGUUUGACACUAAAACUUAAGAUUAAGAUUAGUCGGUAAGAUUCCAUUAUUGAUUAGUAUCAUGUUAAAAAAAGCCUACUCAUGUAAAAGAUAUUUUAAUUAAGUUUGUCUUGGAUUUUGUCUCACCAAGAUGUAGUUAAAUCUGAUUUGAAAGUCAUUUGAAUGCAAUUAGAGGAUUUUUGUGAUUGAGAUGAACACGAACAUCAAUUUUGAUACCUGUCUUAGGAAGAUUAUUUGACCUCAAAGUUUUAAUUAUUAAGCUAGUAGUAUACAACAUUACAAUAUUUUUUAAAAAAUUAUAUUUCAAAAGAUAAGGUUGGGCAAACUAAAUCAAGUUUUUAGUUCCUACCUCACUAAAGAUUCAAACUCGAGUAGUUUUAAAACUACCAUCUGAGCCUUUAGUGUGUACAGUAUUCUUUAAUACUAAGUUCAGUAAGUCUAAAUUUUAACAUUUGAUUAUAACGUAAUAUGUAUCCCUUUUUCAGAAGAUAGAAAUUUUGAAGCCACUUACUUAAAAUUUUUAAGGUAAAGAAAUCUCUAGCUUUUCUAAUUUGUUUAUCUUUUCUAGCUUGGAUAUUUACCCACAAGUGCUUGAGAGACGUGAGGCUCCACUAGGUUCUAAGUUAACUCAUUUUUAUUAGCAUUGUUUUUUUGUAUAGGAAAAGCCUAAACAUAUGGGAUAUAUGCUGAUCAAUUGGGCACCCAGCCUAUAUUUAAAUAAGGGCGCCCCCUAUAACAUGAGAAACUAUAUAUACGAUAGAAAAACAAAGUUUUGUUUUUAGCUAAAGAUGCAUGAUCAAAGGGCCAUGUUGGCUUGGGAAUGUAGAAAUUUUUAUGUUGUAUUUACUUUUUGGAUUAGGGAAUCAAAAUUUGAAAUUAGAAUUAUUGAUGUCAUUUACUUCACAAAAUAAGAGUGAGAAUUUGAAUUGGAAUUGUGGGUCCCAUAUCAAAUUGAGAAUGGAGAAUGGGAGAUUGAUUCUUGGGGGGUUAAGAAUCAGUCUCUCAUUUCUCGGACCAUCAAAAUUUUAAAAUUCUAAAAUUACCCUCCAUUAAAUUAAAAAAUAUAAAUAGCCAAAAAAAAGCAAACAUUUCAAACCCUUAAACCCUCAUCGAACCCUUGCAAACAACCCUUCGCCACAAACAACCAAACAUUUUGAGCCUCCGCCAUAGCAUGUCAUUGUUGUCGCUGAACUUGACCAUCUUCAUCGUUGGUCUUCGUUAUCUUCAUCUUCAUUGCUCGUCUUCACCAUGCAAUAUUCACCGUCCGUUUUCACGAUGAUGAUGAUGAUGAUGAUGUUGACGUUGUUGUUGUUGAUGACGAUAAUGAUUACUACUACUUCUAUUAUGUUACUAUUGUUGUUGAUAAAAACUAUUAUAAUUAAUUAAUUUAUUAACAAUAAUAAUUUUUGAGUUAAAUUGUUAAUAAUAAUAAUAAUUAACAAUAAUAAUUAUCACAAUAAUUAAUUAAGGAAUUUAUAGUUUUUUGUAACAAUUUAACUCAUUCUGAUUUUGAUUACACGACAAAGUAAACACAACAAUGUCUAUACAACUUAUUCCGAUUUCGAUUCCUACAACUUAAGUAAACAACUUAUUUUGAUUCCAAUUCUUCAUUCCGAUUCUAACCCAUUUUGAUUCCCAUUUAGUAAGCACAUCAUUAUAGUAAUGAAAAUAAUUACUUUAUCAUAUUGUUGUUAAUUAAUACAACAUAUGAAAUUUUCAUCAAUCGUUUACUAAGUACUUCAAACCUUUGCUUCAUUAAAUUGCCAUAUGUACAAGAUGGUAUCAAAGCAAAGAAUGUAGCGUGUUAAUAUUUGUUUUUAGUACCAUGCCUAUCAACUCAAUUCGGAUAUUAUCAGAGCUAAACUUCAAUCAAAAUUUUACGUUUCUUUACAUGUAAAAUAAAGUAAAAUUAUUAGUCAUCCACCCUAAAGAUUAUGCUAGUAUGCUACUAUAAAAAAUGCUACAAAAGUUUUAAUUUGUUUGGUUUUAUACCCACUGUUUACAAUGUGUAUCAACUAUCCACUAAUAAAUUAAAAUUAUCCAUACCAAACGAUGACUAUUAUAAUUUGUGAUUGCUUUUGUUUUGUUUUGUCAUUUUGUAAGGAAAAUUCUAUCCUUUUGCAUGGACAGUUGAUACACAUUGUAAACUCAGGGUCAGUGGCGGAUCUAGAAAAAUAAUUUACCGGGGGCUAAAUUAGAUAAUAGUAAAAUAUAAAAAAUUAAAAUUUUGAAUAUGUAAAAUAUUUAUAAUUA